rnacentral:rRNA from 1 species
UGGGGAAUUUUGGACAAUGGGCGAAAGCCUGAUCCAGCAAUGCCGCGUGUGUGAAGAAGGCCUUCGGGUUGUAAAGCACUUUUGUCCGGAAAGAAAUCCUUGGCUCUAAUACAGUCGGGGGAUGACGGUACCGGAAGAAUAAGCACCGGCUAACUACGUGCCAGCAGCCGCGGUAAUACGUAGGGUGCAAGCGUUAAUCGGAAUUACUGGGCGUAAAGCGUGCGCAGGCGGUUUGCUAAGACCGAUGUGAAAUCCCCGGGCUCAACCUGGGAACUGCAUUGGUGACUGGCAGGCUAGAGUAUGGCAGAGGGGGGUAGAAUUCCACGUGUAGCAGUGAAAUGCGUAGAGAUGUGGAGGAAUACCGAUGGCGAAGGCAGCCCCCUGGGCCAAUACUGACGCUCAUGCACGAAAGCGUGGGGAGCAAACAGGAUUAGAUACCCUGGUAGUCCACGCCCUAAACGAUGUCAACUAGUUGUUGGGGGAUUCAUUUCCUUAGUAACGUAGCUAACGCGUGAAGUUGACCGCCUGGGGAGUACGGUCGCAAGAUUAAAACUUAAAUGAAUUGA